UGAUUUCCCCUCAAAUUCAUUCCGUGACCCAAACGGAGCCAAAGAGAUAAAAACAAUGUUGUCAAUGUGUAGCAAUAUUAUUAUUAUUAUUAUUAUUAUUUAAGGUUUGUGAAAAGAAUAUGAUAGUGUAGCAGGUUUCUUGAAUUGAAAGAGGAGUAAUUUAGUAAUAGGAUGUAGAGGAAUUUGUGUUUUAAAAAAAAUUAAUGUGAAG
rnacentral:lncRNA from 1 species